rnacentral:rRNA from 1 species
CUAGCGAGCGAGGGCGGCCGGCCCGACCUCCAGCCCCCUGUGUAUCUGACCGGUUGCUUUGGCGGCCGCCGGCCCCCGGGUCGGCCCGCCAGAGGCCCCCCUUCGAACGCUGUAACGGUGGCCCUCCGAGCGAUGGCUUAACGCACAAAACUUUCAACAACGGAUCUCUUGGCUCUGGCGUCGAUGAAGAACGCAGCGAAAUGCGAUAACUAAUACGAAUUGCAGAAUUCAGCGAAUGAUCGAAUCUUUGAACGCACAUUGCGCCCCCUGGUAGCCCGGGGGGCACGCCUGUUCGAGCGUCAUCACACCCCUCAAGCCUGGCUUGGUCUUGGGCCGCGCCCCCUCGGGGCGGGCCUCGAACUCCUGGGCGGUGCCGCCCCCCACCCAGCGUGACCGGGAGACUCUCCACGCGCUGGCCGGGGCGAUGCCCGCCGCGAGCGGCCCCUAGGGCCCCUACGGUCUGACCUCGGAUCAGGCGGGAAUACCCGCUGAACUUAAGC